GCCCUAUUGUCAAUAUGAUCUCUCAAAUAGGAUUAGCCUGUUAUCCCUAAGGUAGCUUUUUCCAUUAAUCAAUCUUUUGGAUCUUGAAGUAUAAUAAAAAGAGAUGUUUUAGAUAUUCUCUAGUUGCCCCAACUAAAUUUAUUUUUAUAUAUAGUAUUAAAAAAAUAAAGCUCUAUAGGGUCUUUUCGUCUUUUUGUUUAUUAUAGGUUUCUUCACCUAUAUACCAAUUUUUAUUAUUUAAGAUGAGACAGUUUUGUUUUCGUUAAUUCAUUCAUUCUAGCCGCUAAUUAAGCGGCAAGUGAUUAUGC
rnacentral:rRNA from 1 species